GAUGAACGCUAGCGGCAGGCCUAAUACAUGCAAGUCGGACGGGAUUCAGGAGCUUGCUUCUGAUGAGAGUGGCGCACGGGUGCGCAACACGUAUGUAACCUACCUUUAUCAGGGGGAUAGCCUCUCGAAAGAGAGAUUAAGCCCGCAUAAAAUCACAGCACAGCAUUGUGUAAUGAUCAAAUAUUUAUAGGAUAAAGAUGGGCAUGCGGAACAUUAGCUAGAUGGCGGGGUAACGGCCCACCAUGGCGACGAUGUUUAGGGGAUCUGAGAGGAUGGCCCCCCACAAUGGUAAUGAGACACGGACCAGAAUCCGAAGGGAGGCAGCAGUAAGGAAUAUUGGUCAAUGGGCGGAAGCCUGAACCAGCCAUGCCGCGUGCAGGAAGACGGCCAUACGGGUUGUAAACUGCUUUUAUACGGGAAUAAACCCAGAUACGUGUAUCUGGCUGAAUGUACUGUAAGAAUAAGGAUCGGCUAACUCCGUG
rnacentral:rRNA from 1 species